GGGGGUAGAGCUCAGUGGUAGAGCGCCUGCUCAGCACGCACAAGGUCCUAGGUUCAAUCCCAGGUACCUCCC
rnacentral:tRNA from 1 species